AUUUAUUUCACUCAUUUUCUUCAUUUUUUGAUUUAUUUCACCCAUUUAUUUAUUUAAUUUUGGCUAAAACGGCUCUCCGUAGUCAAGAAGCCGACUUCACAGAAUUAGUCACAUUUGUGUCAAUCAGACUCUUCUGGAACGUUCUGACGUCCAUGAUGAGGACAGAGAUGCAACUAUCUGCAUCCAGGACCUACUGCCAGUCAUCCAGAUGUA